CGACCGGCGCACGGGUGAGUAACACGUAUGGAACCUGCCCGCAGCAGGGGGAUAAGCGGAAGAAAUUCCGUCUAAUACCGCGUAACAACGUUGGGAGGCAUCUCCCGAUGUUUAAAGAUUUAUCGGCUGCGGAUGGCCAUGCGGCGCAUUAGCUAGUCGGCGGGGUAACGGCCCACCGAGGCGACGAUGCGUAGGGGUUCUGAGAGGAAGGUCCCCCACACUGGUACUGAGACACGGACCAGACUCCUACGGGAGGCAGCAG
rnacentral:rRNA from 1 species